GGUGAGUGGCGAUACUCUUGGCUUGACGAGCAAACCGCUCACCUGGGAGGGCUACCUUCGACGUCAUACCUCGUAAAGAAAAACCUCGGGACUUUGAUCGCUGCUCGACAUUGCCACCGUCGCCCGCAGCACCGACAGGAAGGCCCGGGUUUUUUCGCCCGAGCUUGGCGAACGCAGAAAAACGGCGACAGAUCACAGAGCGGGGAUUCCCCUGUCUACCCCCGCAAGGAGUCACACGCCCCAAAGGCAUAAGUGGGUGGACAAGACACAGAUAGAAAAAACGGAACGUAAGGCACACGAAAACCUUCCUCAAAUGGUGGUCGCGUGAGAAUAUUUACGGUGUUUGAAUUUUUAUUUGUGCUGAGAUUUGUUUAGUUCGUGUGAAUGAAGGUUAUAGUGUAUUAAUGGUGUUCGGGGUGUAUGCGUGUUGGGUGCUCCUCGGGUGUUAUUAGUGUGUCACUAUCGUAGUAUUGCAUUUUUGUCAAUUUGCUGGUUUCUAAAGUAUCGAGUUUUAUAUGUUACAUAUGAUUAAUAAAUUAAAAUUAUC